GGUAAUGAUCAUUUCAGCAGUUAAACUGAAUCUGUAGCACCUGUGCAUCUUCUUGGGCAAAGCAGAAGUGGCUUCAGUUGUCAGGAAUUGAAUGUAUUUGACUUUCCUCCUCCUGAAGAAUGUGUAGCAUAAAAAACAAUGAACCAAAAAUGGGAUGUCACCCAAGAAAAAACAGAGAAGCAAAUAGAACCUGGAAAAAUGAGAACACAGGAAAACAAGACACAAUACAGAAGGUUUGGAUGGCAUUCUUAAAAAGUUUCUUGCUGCUUUUGAAAAAAGAAAUAUAG
rnacentral:lncRNA from 1 species